rnacentral:rRNA from 1 species
ACUCAAAUGAAUUGACGGGGGCCCGCACAAGCGGUGGAGUAUGUGGUUUAAUUCGAAGCAACGCGAAGAACCUUACCUGGCCUUGACAUCCCGUGACCGGUGCAGAGAUGUAUCUUUCCCUUCGGGGACACGGUGACAGGUGCUGCAUGGCUGUCGUCAGCUCGUGUUGUGAAAUGUUGGGUUAAGUCCCGCAACGAGCGCAACCCCUGUCCUUAGUUACCAUCAUUAAGUUGGGGACUCUAGGGAGACCGCCGGUGUUAAACCGGAGGAAGGCGGGGAUGACGUCAAGUCCUCAUGGCCCUUACGGCCAGGGCUACACACGUACUACAAUGGCAGAAACAGACCGUUGCGAAACCGCGAGGUGGAGCUAAUCGGUAAAACACUGUCUCAGUCCGGAUUGGAGUCUGCAAUUCGACUCCAUGAAGUUGGAAUCGCUAGUAAUCGCAGAUCAGCACGCUGCGGUGAAUACGUUCCCGGGCCUUGUACACACCGCCCGU